rnacentral:lncRNA from 1 species
GUAUUGCCGCGUGAUUCGUACCAAACAUCCCAAACUCGUUUGAAUUGUACUUCCAAGUUGGAGAUAUGGUUUGCAUCUCGCUUAACUUGUACUAGAAAAUAUCAAGAUAAUUUAUUAUUAAAAAAUAAUUAUUAUGAUUGAAAACCACAAUAUUAUCCCAUAAUAAUGACAAAAUUAUCUUAACUUUCCAUCCAACAGUCUAAAACUUUGAUCAUUCAACGACCUAGAACUUUGCUCUAGCUAAUGAUGUAAAAUGGGGUAUAAACGGAUUAAUUAGGAAUGUUGGAUCAUACAUCUCUCUGAAUGAGUUGCAUAAAUUAAAAGUGUUCAUAAUUUUCUUGGGAUAAAAGAGAAAAUCUUGAGAUAAUUGGUAUUUCGGAAAUAAGAGCCAAGUAAUUGGUAUCUGAGUUAGUUAUCUUUGUGGUAGCAAAUUUUCACCGUCUUCAGUAUUAACAAAACUAUACCUACAAAACAAUAAACACCUUCGAUCAAGGCCAAAGCCUCACGUGACGACAAGGUGGGUGGAUGAUUUGGCUAAUGGAUCUACAAUGACUAAGUGAGUUUCUCUAAAAAGAUGGAGUGUUUAGGGCUUAAGUGAUCAGCAAAAGCUUACCAGAAAUUGGUGGAGAUAAGGUACUAAUAAGGAGGUGGUCGACCUAGGCAUUAUUGCCUUCUUUGAGAAAAUCUCGUGUGUUGUCUCUAAGAUUUUUUGAAUUACUUUUGGCUCCACAAUUUUCAUAGUCUAUUAGUGGCUGGUAUUUGUAGUUAUUGGAUACCUUAAAUGUUUCUUGAAUUCCUAAUAUGUUAAAGUUUCCACUCUCAAACCAAACAAUGUCUAGGUCCAAACAAUAAGUCCCAACGAUGUGGCCUGAGUGGAUGCAACAUGAACAGAGAGAGAAAACCACAGUCAAGUUAGAAACUCAAGCCAAUAGAUAACAUAUUUUGUACUUGUAAACCCCGUAAUUUGUAAAACGAAUUGAUUAUUUAGGACUAAUUCAUCUGCCAGUACUAGCUCUGGAUCUAGCUUAAAUAAGAUCCCAGACACAGUUAAUGAGGAGCAAAAAUUAAAGCUUCAGAAAGAUGAAAAUGUCGAGUUUCUUGAUUGGAAUAUCCCCAAUGUAUCUAAUAAAGAAAUUAUAAGAAGAGAUGGUCAAUUUCAGCAUUUAAACGUGAACAUCAUGUUAAAAACAAUCGAGCAAGCUUACGUUGUUAGUAAAGAACAUGAAACAUGUCAGUUAUUAGGGCCGGCCCUAA